UAUAUUGUGGUGGAGAAAGUGUUUCUGAGAUAAGAUAAUGAAGACUGAGGGCUAAGUAAAAUAUCAAUUGACAUGCUAAAAAAAUGCAUGUUGGUUUAGUGGUUGUAUGAUGGUUAGAAUUUUUCUAAAAUGAAAUUGUAGUGUUUAAGUGUAGUUCGUAGUUAGAGAAUGGGUUUGGUGGGGGUUUUGUAUGGAUGGAUUUUAUUAUGCGGAAUGUGAA
rnacentral:misc_RNA from 1 species